AAGUCGUAACAAGGUCUCCGUUGGUGAACCAGCGGAGGGAUCAUUACCGAGUUUACAACUCCCAAACCCCUGUGAACAUACCACUUGUUGCCUCGGCGGAUCAGCCCGCUCCCGGUAAAACGGGACGGCCCGCCAGAGGACCCCUAAAACUCUGUUUCUAUAUGUAACUUCUGAGUAAAACCAUAAAUAAAUCAAAACUUUCAACAACGGAUCUCUUGGUUCUGGCAUCGAUGAAGAACGCAGCAAAAUGCGAUAAGUAAUGUGAAUUGCAGAAUUCAGUGAAUCAUCGAAUCUUUGAACGCACAUUGCGCCCGCCAGUAUUCUGGCGGGCAUGCCUGUUCGAGCGUCAUUUCAACCCUCAAGCACAGCUUGGUGUUGGGACUCGCGUUAAUUCGCGUUCCUCAAAUUGAUUGGCGGUCACGUCGAGCUUCCAUAGCGUAGUAGUAAAACCCUCGUUACUGGUAAUCGUCGCGGCCACGCCGUUAAACCCCAACUUCUGAAUGUUGACCUCGGAUCAGGUAGGAAUACCCGCUGAACUUAAGCA
rnacentral:rRNA from 1 species